AUGCCAUGGUGUGGACAUUCUCUCUGCAGGUCUAUAUCUUUCCCAUGCAUCAUAGAGUGAUUCUCCCUCCUUUUGUCUAAAAGUGUUGAGCUUAAGUCUCAGCUU